UACGAAGGGGGCUAGCGUUGCUCGGAAUCACUGGGCGUAAAGCGCACGUAGGCGGACUCUUAAGUCGGUGGUGAAAUCCUAGAGCUCAACUCCAGAACUGCCUUCGAUACUGGGAGUCUCGAGUCCGGGAGAGGUGAGUGGAAUUGCGAGUGUAGAGGUGAAAUUCGUAGAUAUUCGCAAGAACACCAGUGGCGAAGGCGGCUCACUGGCCCGGUACUGACGCUGAGGUGCGAAAGCGUGGGGAGCAAACAGG
rnacentral:rRNA from 1 species